CGUUCCGUAGUGUAGUGGUUAUCACGUUUGCUUUACACGCAAAAGGUCCCCUGUUCGAUCCCGGGCGGAACCA
rnacentral:tRNA from 1 species